UUGCCCUAGUAACGGCGAGUGAAGCGGCAACAGCUCAAAUUUGAAAUCUGGCCCUAGCGGUCCGAGUUGUAAUUUGUAGAGGAUGCUUCUGGCGAGGCGCCUUCCGAGUUCCCUGGAACGGGACGCCGUAGAGGGUGAGAGCCCCGUACGGUCGGUUGCUAAGCCUAUAUGUAGCUCCUUCGACGAGUCGAGUAGUUUGGGAAUGCUGCUCUAAAUGGGAGGUAAAUUUCUUCUAAAGCUAAAUACCGGCCAGAGACCGAUAGCGCACAAGUAGAGUGAUCGAAAGAUGAAAAGCACUUUGAAAAGAGGGUUAAAUAGCACGUGAAAUUGUUGAAAGGGAAGCGUUUGCGACCAGACCUUUUCGUAGCGGAUCAUCCGGUGUUCUUCGCCGGUGCACUUCGCUACGAUCAGGCCAGCAUCGGUUUUCUCAGGGGGAUAAAGGCCUGGGGAACGUAGCUCUCUCGGGAGUGUUAUAGCCCCUCGCGUAAUACCUUUUAGGGGACCGAGGACCGCGCUUCGGCAAGGAUGCUGGCGUAAUGGUCGUCAACGACCCGUCUUGAAACACGGACCAAGGAGUCGAACAUUUAUGCGAGUGUUUGGGUGCUAAACCCUCACGCGUAAUGAAAGUGAACGGAGGUGAGAGCCUUAUUAGGUGCAUCAUCGACCGAUCCUGAUGUUUCGGAUGGAUUUGAGUAAGAGCAUAGCUGUUCGGACCCGAAAGAUGGUGAACUAUGCGUGGAUAGGGUGAAGCCAGAGGAAACUCUGGUGGAGGCUCGCAGCGGUUCUGACGUGCAAAUCGAUCGUCAAAUCUGCGCAUGGGGGCG
rnacentral:rRNA from 1 species